rnacentral:scaRNA from 1 species
ACGACCUUACUUGAACAGGAUCUGUUCUAUAAGCUCGUACCUCUGUAUUCUUGAUUCCUAAGAAGACAGAAACCCAUGUCUGGUUGAUGAGUCAUGACAAAAA